GAUGAAGAACGCAGCGAAAUGCAUACGUAAUGUGAAUUGCAGAAUUCAGUGAAUCAUCGAGUCUUUGAACGCACAUUGCGCCCCCUGGUAUUCCGGGGGGCAUGCCUGUCCGAGCGUCAUUGCUGCCCUCAAGCACGGCUUGUGUGUUGGGCCUCCGUCCUCCUCCCGGGGGACGGGCCCGAAAGGCAGCGGCGGCACCGCGUCCGGUCCUCGAGCGUAUGGGGCUUCGUCACCCGCUCUUGUAGGCCCGGCCGGCGCUUGCCGACACAUCAAUCUUUUUUCCAGGUUGACCUCGGAUCAGGUAGGGAUACCCGCUGAACUUAAGCAUAUCAAUAAGCGGAGGA
rnacentral:misc_RNA from 1 species